rnacentral:rRNA from 4 species
CAGUGAUAAACUGGAGGAAGGUGGGGAUGACGUCAAGUCAUCAUGGCCCUUACGACCAGGGCUACACACGUGCUACAAUGGCGCAUACAAAGAGAAGCGACCUCGCGAGAGCAAGCGGACCUCAUAAAGUGCGUCGUAGUCCGGAUUGGAGUCUGCAACUCGACUCCAUGAAGUCGGAAUCGCUAGUAAUCGUGGAUCAGAAUGCCACGGUGAAUACGUUCCCGGGCCUUGUACACACCGCCCGUCACACCAUGGGAGUGGGUUGCAAAAGAAGUAGGUAGCUUAACCUUCGGGAGGGCGCUUACCACUUUGUGAUUCAUGACUGGGGUGAAGUCGUAACAAGGUAACCGUAGGGGAACCUG